AUUGAACGCUGGCGGCAGGCCUAACACAUGCAAGUCGAACGGUAACAGGGAUCAGCUUGCUGAUUCGCUGACGAGUGGCGGACGGGUGAGUAAUGUCUGGGAAACUGCCUGAUGGAGGGGGAUAACUACUGGAAACGGUAGCUAAUACCGCAUAACGUCGCAAGACCAAAGAGGGGGACCUUCGGGCCUCUUGCCAUCGGAUGCGCCCAGCUGGGAUUAGCUAGUAGGUGGGGUAACGGUUCACCUAGGCGACGAUCCCUAGCUGGUCUGAGAGGAUGACCAGCCACACUGGAACUGAGACACGGUCCAGACGCCUACGGGAGGCAGCAGUGGGGAAUGUUGCACAAUGGGCGCAAGCCUGAUGCAGCCAGGCCGCGUGUAUGAAGAAGGCCUUCGGGUUGUAAAGUACUUUCAGCGGGGAGGAAGGGAGUAAAGUUGAUACCUUGGCUCAUUGACGUUACCCGCAGAAGAAGCACCGGCUAACUCCGUA
rnacentral:rRNA from 1 species